AUGCAAGUCGAGCGGUAACAGAGGUAGCUUGCUACCUGCUGACGAGCGGCGGACGGGUGAGUAACGCGUAGGAAUCUACCCAGUAGCGGGGGAUAAGCCAGAGAAAUUUGGUCUAAUACCGCAUACGCCCUUCGGGGGAAAGCAGGGGAUCUUCGGACCUUGCACUAUUGGAUGAGCCUGCGUGAGAUUAGCUUGUUGGUGAGGUAAUGGCUCACCAAGGCGACGAUCUCUAGCUGGUCUGAGAGGAUGAUCAGCCACACUGGAACUGAGACACGGUCCAGACUCCUACGGGAGGCAGCAGUGGGGAAUAUUGCACAAUGGGCGCAAGCCUGAUGCAGCCAUGCCGCGUGUGUGAAGGAGGCCCUAGGGUUGUAAAGCACUUUCAGCAGUGAGGAAAGGUUAGUAGUUAAUACCUGCUAACUGUGACGUUAACUGCAGAAGAAGCACCGGCUAACUCCGUGCCAGCAGCCGCGGUAAUACGGAGGGUGCGAGCGUUAAUCGGAAUUACUGGGCGUGAAGCGCGCGUANGUGGAUUGGUCAGUCAGAUGUGAAAGCCCAGGGCUCAACCUUGGAACUG
rnacentral:rRNA from 1 species